rnacentral:rRNA from 1 species
AUUGAACGCUGGCGGCAGGCCUAACACAUGCAAGUCGAGCGAGCGGCGGAAGGGUGCGUAAUGUCAGGGACACUGCCUGAUGGAGGGGGAUAGCUACUGGCAACGGUAGCUAAUACCGCAUACAAUCAGAUGUGCCCAGCUGGGAUUAGCUAGUAGGUGGGGUAACGGCCCCCGUAGGCGACGAGCCCUAGCUGGUCUGCGAGGAUGGCACGCCACACUGGAACUGAUACACGGGCCAGACUCCUACGGGAGGCAGCAGUGGGGAAUAUUGCACAAUGGGCGGAAGCCUGAUGCAGCCAUGCCGAGUGUGUGAAGAAGGCCUGCGGGUUGUAAAGCACUUUCAGCGGGGAGGCGUUACCCGCAGAAGAAGCACCGGCUAACUCCGUGCCAGCAGCCGCGGUAAUAC